AGUCUCUUGGUGUAGUAGGAAACACACCUUCAUGUUACUCUGGAACCUAGAAGGAGUCCGUGGUUCGAACCCACGAGAGGCUG